UACGUAGGUGGCAAGCGUUGUCCGGAUUUACUGGGCGUAAAGAGCGCGCAGGCGGUCGUGCAAGUCGCGUGUGGAAGCCCCCGGCUCAACUGGGGAGGGUCACGCGAUACUGCUCGACUUGAAGGCAGGAGAGGGAAGUGGAAUUCCCGGUGUAGUGGUGAAAUGCGUAGAUAUCGGGAGGAACACCAGUGGCGAAGGCGACUUCCUGGCCUGUUCUUGACGCUGAGGCGCGAAAGCUAGGGUAGCAAACGGG
rnacentral:rRNA from 1 species